rnacentral:tRNA from 5 species
GGCGGUGUAGCUCAGAUGGUUAGAGCAUGCGGCUCAUACCCGCAGUGUCCUGAGUUCGAAUCUCAGCACCGCCACCA